rnacentral:rRNA from 1 species
AUUGAACGCUGGCGGCAUGCCUUACACAUGCAAGUCGAACGGCAGCACGGGUGCUUGCACCUGGUGGCGAGUGGCGAACGGGUGAGUAAUACAUCGGAACGUACCUUAUCGUGGGGGAUAACGCAGCGAAAGCUGUGCUAAUACCGCAUACGCCCUGAGGGGGAAAGCGGGGGAUCGAAAGACCUCGCGCGAUUAGAGCGGCCGAUGCCUGAUUAGCUUGUUGGUGGGGUAAAAGCCCACCAAGGCGACGAUCAGUAGCUGGUCUGAGAGGACGAUCAGCCACACUGGGACUGAGACACGGCCCAGACUCCUACGGGAGGCAGCAGUGGGGAAUUUUGGACAAUGGGGGCAACCCUGAUCCAGCAAUGCCGCGUGAGUGAAGAAGGCCUUCGGGUUGUAAAGCUCUUUUGUCAGGGAAGAAACACCGGCUCUAACACAGUCCGGGAAUGACGGUACCUGAAGAAUAAGCACCGGCUACCUACGUGCCAGCAGCCGCGGUAAUACGUAGGGUGCGAGCGUUAAUCGGAAUUACUGGGCGUAAAGCGUGCGCAGGCGGUUAUACAAGACAGGCGUGAAAUCCCCGGGCUUAACCUGGGAAUGGCGCCUGUGACUGUAUAGCUAGAGUGUGUCAGAGGGGGGUAGAAUUCCACGUGUAGCAGUGAAAUGCGUAGAUAUGUGGAGGAAUACCAAUGGCGAANGCAGCCCCCUGGGAUAACACUGACGCUCAUGCACGAAAGCGUGGGGAGCAAACAGGAUUAGAUACCCUGGUAGUCCACGCCCUAAACGAUGCUGACUAGUUGUUCGGGAUUUACAUCCUGAGUAACGUAGCCAACGCGUGAAGUCAGCCGCCUGGGGAGUACGGUCGCAAGAUUAAAACUCAAAGGAAUUGACGGGGACCCGCACAAGCGGUGGAUGANGUGGAUUAAUUCGAUGCAACGCGAAAAACCU